rnacentral:rRNA from 1 species
UACGUAGGGUGCGAGCGUUAAUCGGAAUUACUGGGCGUAAAGCGUGCGUAGGCGGUUAUGUAAGUCAGGUGUGAAAGCCCCGGGCUCAACCUGGGAAUGGCAUUUGAGACUGCAUAGCUAGGGUGCGGAAGAGGGAAGCGGAAUUUCCGGUGUAGCGGUGAAAUGCGUAGAUAUCGGAAGGAACAUCAGUGGCGAAAGCGGCUUCCUGGUCCAGCACCGACGUUCAGGCACGAAAGCGUGGGGAGCAAACAGG